CUUCGGUUGGAGCUUACCGAACCUAUGUUUAGGUCUGACUCUCUCACAAUCCAAUUUUGAGUUUGUUUUUACAAUGUAUGGUAGAAUCAAGGCUAACCAAGGGGUGGCAUCAUGCCCAAUGCGUGAUCCUUGGUACGUAAGACCUAAAACUUCAAGAAUAAAGGAUAAUAUUUCCGAACCUUAACCCUGCAGAAUCUACUUUUGUCUCGAUGAAAUAUAUUAUUGGUUAUGCACAUGUUUAUGCCUUUACCAAUGUUGUUGAGGAGUACCAUUCUCGUAGUCAAUAUGUGAGACUAAUUUUGCUCCACCAAAUAUCGUUGGAAGAGCAGAAUUUUGACAUGAGUGGCCUUAUUGGUUGAAUCCCUUUAGUAAACCAUUUACUUUGUGAACAUCUUUCUAUGUUCUUGGAUUCAUAUUUGGUGUUUGUUUUAGUUAUGGAUAAUCUUAUCAAUCUUGUCCUUGAAAAUGUGUUAAUUGAAUCAUGUUUCUUGUAUACAUGUGGCUGAAUUCAAUUAAACACGUGAUUAGUUACGAAUGUGUGAAAGUUAGUUGUCUGGAUGAAUGCGAUACUACGCACACUGUUGGAAAUGUGCCCUAAACCAAUCA
rnacentral:lncRNA from 1 species